ACUCAAAGGAAUAGACGGGGGCCCGCACAAGCAGUGGAGUAUGUGGUUUAAUUCGAAGCAACGCGAAGAACCUUACCAAGUCUUGACAUGGGGAUGACCGGUAUAGAAAUAUGCCUUCUCUUCGGAGCGUCCCACACAGGUGGUGCAUGGUUGUCGUCAGCUCGUGUCGUGAGAUGUUGGGUUAAGUCCCGCAACGAGCGCAACCCUUACAUUUAGUUGCUACGCAAGAGCACUCUAGAUGGACUGCCGUUGACAAAACGGAGGAAGGUGGGGAUGAUGUCAAAUCAUCAUGCCCCUUAUGACUUGGGCCACACACGUACUACAAUGGCCGUUAACAAAGUGAAGCAAUACCGCGAGGUGGAGCAAAACACAAAAAACGGUCUCAGUUCGGAUCGCAGGCUGCAACCCGCCUGCGUGAAGUCGGAAUUGCUAGUAAUCGCAGAUCAGCAUGCUGCGGUGAAUACGUUCCCGGGCCUUGUACACACCGCCCGU
rnacentral:rRNA from 1 species